rnacentral:rRNA from 1 species
UGCAGUCGAACGCGAAAGUUCCCUUCGGGGGGCGAGUAGAGUGGCGCACGGGUGAGUAACACGUAGGUAAUCUACCUUUGGGUGGGGAAUAACAGCCGGAAACGGCUGCUAAUACCGCAUAAUGCAGCGGCUCGACAUCGAGACAGUUGUUAAAGCGGGGGAUCGCAAGGCCUCGCGCCUAAAGAGGAGCUUGCGGCGGAUUAGCUAGUUGGUGAGGUAAUGGCUCACCAAGGCAUCGAUCCGUAGCCGGCCUGAGAGGGCGGUCGGCCACACUGACACUGACAUACGGGUCAGACUCCUACGGGAGGCAGCAGUCGGGAAUUUUGGGCAAUGGGCGCAAGCCUGACCCAGCAACGCCGCGUGAAGGAUGAAAUCCCUCGGGAUGUAAACUUCGCAAGAACAGGAAGAAUAAGUGGGGGACAAUACCCCCCAUGAUGACGGUACUGUUUGUAAGCUCCGGCUAACUCCGUGCCAGCAGCCGCGGUAAUACGGGGGGAGCAAGCGCUGUUCGGAUUUACUGGGCGUAAAGGGCGCGUAGGCGGUCGUGACAAGUCACUUGUGAAAUCUCCGGGCUUAACUCGGAAAGGUCAAGUGAUACUGUCGGACUAGAGUGCAGAAGGGGCAACUGGAAUUCUCGGUGUAGCGGUGAAUGCGUAGAUAUCGAGAGGAACACCUGCGGCGAAGGCGGGUUGCUGGGCUGACACUGACGCUGAGGCGCGAAAGCCAGGGGAGCGAACGGGAUUAGAUACCCCGGUAGUCCUGGCCUUAAACGAUGAAUGCUUGGUGUCUCG